rnacentral:rRNA from 1 species
AGAGUUUGAUCCUGGCUCAGGAUGAACGCUGGCGGCGUGCCUAAUACAUGCAAGUCGAGCGAACAGACGAGGAGCUUGCUUCUCUGACGUUAGCGGCGGACGGGUGAGUAACACGUGGAUAACCUACCUAUAAGACUGGGAUAACUUCGGGAAACCGGAGCUAAUACCGGAUAAUAUAUUGAACCGCAUGGUUCAAUAGUGAAAGACGGUUUUGCUGUCACUUAUAGAUGGAUCCGCGCCGCAUUAGCUAGUUGGUAAGGUAACGGCUUACCAAGGCAACGAUGCGUAGCCGACCUGAGAGGGUGAUCGGCCACACUGGAACUGAGACACGGUCCAGACUCCUACGGGAGGCAGCAGUAGGGAAUCUUCCGCAAUGGGCGAAAGCCUGACGGAGCAACGCCGCGUGAGUGAUGAAGGUCUUCGGAUCGUAAAACUCUGUUAUUAGGGAAGAACAAAUGUGUAAGUAACUAUGCACGUCUUGACGGUACCUAAUCAGAAAGCCACGGCUAACUACGUGCCAGCAGCCGCGGUAAUACGUAGGUGGCAAGCGUUAUCCGGAAUUAUUGGGCGUAAAGCGCGCGUAGGCGGUUUUUUAAGUCUGAUGUGAAAGCCCACGGCUCAACCGUGGAGGGUCAUUGGAAACUGGAAAACUUGAGUGCAGAAGAGGAAAGUGGAAUUCCAUGUGUAGCGGUGAAAUGCGCAGAGAUAUGGAGGAACACCAGUGGCGAAGGCGACUUUCUGGUCUGUAACUGACGCUGAUGUGCGAAAGCGUGGGGAUCAAACAGGAUUAGAUACCCUGGUAGUCCACGCCGUAAACGAU